CCUACGGGGGGCAGCAGUGGGGGAUAUUGCACAAUGGGGGGAACCCUGAUGCAGCGACGCCGCGUGGGUGAAGGAGGGUUUCGGCGCGUAAAGCCCUAUCGGCAGGGAAGAAGAUGACGGGACCUGACCAAGAAGCCCCGGCGAACGACGGGCCAGCAGCCGCGGGAAUACGUAGGGGGCAAGCGUUAUCCGGAUUUACUGGGUGUAAAGGGGGCGCAGACGGCACUGCAAGCCAGGAGUGAAAGCCCGGGGCCCAACCCCGGGACUGCUCUUGGAACUGCAUGGCUGGAGUACAGGAGGGGCAGGCGGAAUUCCUCGUGUAGCGGUGAACUGCGUAGAUCUUAGGAGGAACACCGGUGGCGCAGGCGGCCUGCUGGACUGUGACUGCCGUUGAGGCCCGAAGGCGUGGGGAGCAAACCGGCUUAGCUACCCGGGUAGUC
rnacentral:rRNA from 1 species